rnacentral:rRNA from 1 species
CGUGGCUAACCUGCCCUUGGGACGGAAGCACCCCCGGGAAACUGGGGCUAAUUUCCGAUAGGGGAAGACUCCUGGAAUGGAUUUUCGCCUAAAAGGCGCUUAGAGCAUGCUUCUAGGCGUUGCCCAAGGAUGGGGCCGCGGCCGAUCAGGUUGUUGGUGAGGUAACGGCUCACCAAGCCUUUAACCGGUGCGGGCCGUGGGAGCGGGAGCCCGGAGAUGGGCACUGAGACAAGGGCCCAGGCCCUACGGGGCGCAGCAGCCGCGAAAACUUCGCAAUAAGCGAAAGCUUGACGGGGCUAUCCCGAGUGCCAUCCGCUGAGGAUGGCUUUUCCCUAGUAUAGAUAGCUGGGGGAAAAAGGAGAGGGCAAGUCUGGUGUCAGCCGCCGCGGUAAUACCAGCUCUCCGAGUGGUGGGGAUGAUUAUUGGGCCUAAAGCAUCCGUAGCCGGCUGGGCAAGUCCCCUGUUAAACCCAGCGAUCUAAUCGUUGGCCUGCGGGGGAUACUGCUUGGCUAGGGGGCGAGAGAGGCCGUCGGUAUUCCCGGGGUAGGGGUGAAAUCCUAUAAUCCCGGGAGGACCACCAGUGGCGAAGGCUGUCGGCUAGAACGCGCCCGACGGUGAGGGAUGAAAGCUGGGGGAGCGAACCGGAUUAGAUACCCGGGUAGUCCCAGCUGU